rnacentral:rRNA from 1 species
GAUCAUGGCUCAGGAGUGAACGCUAGCGACAGGCCUAACACAUGCAAGUCGGAGGGGCAGCGCGGAGUAGCAAUACUUGGCGGCGACCGGCGCACGGGUGAGUAACACGUAUGCAACCAACCCAUAACAGGGGGAUAACCCGGAGAAAUCCGGACUAAUACCGCAUAAGACCACGAUAUCGCAUGAUAUAGAGGUCAAAUAUUUAUAGGUUAUGGGACGGGCAUGCGUCUGAUUAGCUGGUUGGCGGGGUAACGGCCCACCAAGGCAUCGAUCAGUAGGGGUUCUGAGAGGAAGGUCCCCCACAUUGGAACUGAGACACGGUCCAAACUCCUACGGGAGGCAGCAGUGAGGAAUAUUGGUCAAUGGGCGAAAGCCUGAACCAGCCAUGUCGCGUGAAGGAAUGAAGGUCCUAUGGAUUGUAAACUUCUUCUGCAGGAGGGUAAAGUGAGCUACGUGUAGUUCAUUGCAAGUACCCUGCGAAUAAGCAUCGGCUAACUCCGUGCCAGCCGCGGC